rnacentral:tRNA from 1 species
UGGGGUGUAGCUUAAUGGUAGAGCUACUUGACUAGUAUACAGGAAGCCCUGGGUUCCAUCUCCAGCACCGCAA